AUGGUUCGCUUCACCUUGUGCGUAGUGGUGAAUUUGACGAGAUUGAUCGCUGAGUCGUCGCCGUCUCCGAUGAUCAUGUUGAUCGUGCGUGUUGGUGAAGGCGGCUUUGGUGGCCCGUGGGAUUGCUCCCGUCCACGUGCAAAGUUGAUUUUUCCUUUGUCACUGAGUAGCUCUCUCAGGAACACUUGGUUCAACAUCCUAACCACCUCUUAUCGUAGGCCUAUGCAGUCUUCGGUUUUG
rnacentral:lncRNA from 1 species